CAAGAGGCUCCUCCCCAGGGCAGCCUGACUCAGAAAGACCGUCUGAGAUCUUUUCCCGGCUCGGCCAAGCUUGUUGCAGCUUUUCUGGGCUGCAGGGGGUCCUGCCUGGAGCUGGCAGUCCUAUGCAGCUGGUCCACUAGGUCUUAGCACCCCCUGGGGUCUUGGGCGUGUAGCAAGGCCCUUGGAGACUCAAGAGGCUCCUCCCCGGGGGAGCCCGUCUCAGAAAAACCGUCGGAGAAUUAGGUCGAUCUAUUCACGGCCUGGCUAGGCUUGUUCUAGCUUUUCUGGGCUGCAGGCCUUUUCUAGGGGGCUGGUGGUGUUUGGUGCUGCUCUGUGGAAGUGUAGCCCCUCCAAAGGGCAAGCAGGCCUGUGCAGGGAGAGCCCCUGCGGUGGUAGGCUUCAGGCAAUUGUUGAGGCCAGCCCUCCUGGAUGGCAGGCAGCCCCAGGUUCGGCGAGAGCGUAGGGGGUGGCGGGGGUGGGGGGAGGGAAUGCACUGGGAAGCACAGCUUUCUGCUAGCUAGCGGGCCUGUAAGCUUGCUGUGGCGUGGGGGGUAUUCUAUGGGGACCCACCCCUUCUUCUCUCCCCUCCCCAGCACGGGCGCAGACCAGGCUCUUCUCCCAGGUUCCCUCUGAGGCGGCUUUCCACUUCCCCGCCCCUAGAGUAUUGCUCCCUUCCUCUGCGACAGCUUUGUUUUCUAGUCUCCCAGGCAGUCUCUGCCCCGUCAAAUGGUUUAGAGACCUCCCAAGCAGUUUCCGCUCUUCCCCGCCCCCCUAGCCCGGGGACUAAUCUCUGGAGCCGAGGUCUCGGUGCCCAGCCCCCCCCCCCAGGCGUCCCCCGGCCCUUUCUUGGGGACUAACCUUCGGAGGCGAGGUCUCGGUGCCCAGCCCCAACCCAGGCGUCCCCCGGCCCCCUCUCGGGGACCAACCUUCAGAGCUGAGGUCUCGGUGCCCAGCCCCCACCCAGGCGUCCCCCGGCCCUUUCCUGGGGACUAACCUCUGGAGCCAAGGAUUCGGUGCCCAGCCCCCACCCAGGCGUCUCAAUUUUUGGUGACUGUGCCCGUAGUUCAGAUGGUCCGUUGGGUUCUUGAUCGUUUUUCCGUACUCCGACUUACUGCUACACUCUUCUCUGCAUCUGGAGAUUCCUCCGGUUCGUUUGAUCUUUCCCCUGGGUAGGUGACUUUCCAGGGUGCGGGAUCCCUUUCUCCUCCGCAGUUCCCUUUCGGGAGCACCCGUCCCGCUCGGAUUCACCUUCUCUCACUC
rnacentral:lncRNA from 1 species